rnacentral:tRNA from 1 species
ACUCUAUAGUAUAAAGAUAAUGUUAAAUUGCAAGUUUAAAGAUGUGCGGGAUCACUAGAGUU